UAUAUCCUGAAAUGUGCGAUGCCCCUUUUUAAUUUGAACCUACAUCGACACUUAGGGAAUCCAAGAUCGCAGGUUGGAUGUCAGGCCUCUCGUUGUGGAAGGCAGAAGAUUUGUUGAGGAUACCCACCUAGCUUUGGCUAGGCGUCAAAGAAAAGGGAACGGCAUUUCGGGACUACA
rnacentral:other from 1 species